rnacentral:rRNA from 1 species
CCUUCAUGAAGCCGGAAUUGCUAGUAAUGGCAGGUCAGCAUACUGCCGUGAAUACGUUCCCGGGCCUUGUACACACCGCCCGUCACACCAUGAGAGUUGGGGAUACCCGAAGCCUGUGAGCUAACUAUUUAUAGGAGCAGCAGUCGAAGGUAGAAUCAAUGAUUGGGGUGAAGUCGUAACAAGGUACC